AUCUGUCUCCUUCGUCUCCCUCAGAAUAGUGGCCUCACCGCCCCACACGGGCCAGUCCCUAGUCCACACCCUUGCUCAAGCCGGUCUGCACCUGGAAUUCACUGCCUGCCGCCAGUGCUUACCUUGGUUCUGGAAGACUAUGUGCUCCUUGAGGGCCCAGCCUGGGCCACUUCCCUGUUGAAUGCCACUGGAGCUACACGCCCUCUCACCACCCUGACCCCGCCGGUUGCCCUAACCCGGUAGGGUGUCUUUCUCUGCAGCCACCAAGCACCUCAUAGGGCCGUCUGUGUGUCCCAGCAUCGGAGCAGGGCCUGUGGCAGACACCUGGUGGUCAUGCGCUGAGUGAGUGGGGAAGGAAUCAACCCUCGCGUGACAUGGCAUAGUGUCUGGGACCUGGAGAUAGUGACAAGAAUGUUAUUUUACAAAUGGCAGUUUGAGGGAGUCUAUGCCAGUAUUUUUUUAAAAGCACAAAUGCUGCCGAAUGAAAGCCACACAUGUGCUCCCUUAGGAAAGGGAAAACAGAAGAUUCAAGAAAAUUGUCAUCUUAUUUGAGCACAAUUUCUUUCUUUCCGUUGAUGUCUCCUGGUGUGCUUUGAAAAGACAGCAAUCCUGCACCUUUGGCCAGGAGUGCCCAGCUCUGUGGGGGAGGACAUUUGGAGGCCUGAGCCUUAGAGCCACAGGUCAGGGGACAAGUGGGCGCUGGGCCCAGGCGACCAUUCCCCUCCCAGCCGGGCUUCUGGAGACCCUGCGUGCACUGCCUGGGGUGGCAGAAAGCUCCAGCUUUGUAGACAGCUCACUUCCUAUGUGGAUAAUUUAGCCUGCCACCACGUCAACUUCUUCAUCUGUAAAAUGGGGCUAUACUUUCCUAAUAGGGUUGUUGACAAGUGGUAAAAGAAAUAUUGAUGCAGAACUCUUAAUAUAAUGUCUGGUACUAGUAAAUGCUAAAAAAAUUCCCUUCCCACCCACCCCUAUGCCCACCCUCACCAACCAGCCUGGCCCUUGCCUCUGGAAUCAGAUCUCUCUAGGGAUCUUGGGCUGAGCAGCUGAGCCCAUCAACUGGACUGGCACCCAGAGCUUCCGCUUUGGAAGGGUCUAUUGGAACAGGAAAAGUCUUUGUGUCACUAAGAAAAUAAGUUCAAAUGGUGAGAGCCAGUUGGGAAAACUCUGUGGGCUGGGGACCUUUUAUAGGUGAGUGUCUGUAAUCAGAGGAGACUGUGUCACCCUUGCACCAACUCUUUGCAUAAGCACCAGUGGCCCUUAUCUGGGGGAUAAAAUCCCAGCCCUUCAGCCAGGCUGUCAGGGCCUUGGCGAUCCAGCCCCACCUGCCUGGAUUCAGUGAGCAUGCACACGCAGGCCGUCCCCUGGGCUGGACACUCACUCCCAGCUUACCCACAUCGCCCAGCAGCCCUUCUCGAAGAGGACAUCUGUCCUCACCCAGAGCAUAGUCCCCAGGUGUUUGUGCCGGUGUCUUAGCAUCCCCUUGGUUCUGGGCAUGUGGAGCCAGGGUCCAUGCCUGAGCCACCCUGAGGACAUUCACGUGGGGCCUCAUUCCUAGGUCUGCAUGACUCAACGUCUCCUGGGAGUGAACCAGGGGCUGAGCUUCUACACCCAAGUCAUGCCCAGUUCAGGACGGUCCAGGCACACCGAAGGGUGGGAAGGUGGGAGCACCCUCCUCUUGCAGCUCUCUGAGGGGAUCGGAGAGUCCCUGCUGUGCUUUCCUCAUUGGCAUGCAGGCAUGUGGCUGUGGCUUGCAUGUCCAUUUGGCCAUCUUAAGUACACAAAGUCUGUCUAUUUCCCUCUGCUCACCUGCUCAGAUGGCCUCCUCUAGCACAGUGUACAAGAGCACCAAAGUGCCCAGGGAUGCUGUAGGCAAUGCCCACACCUCACAUCCUUCUAGAAACCAGCCCAGGUCACACGGCAAUGGAGCAAGCCCAGGGCGAACGGCUGCCCUCCUGGGCCCAUUCGUCACCCUUUCUGGCCUGGGCCUGCCUCAGUGAUGUGGAAGGGAGAUGAAGGUGAUCUGGAAGAGGAAGGCUUGGGGUGCUGUCAAAGGAGGAAAAGACCCAGGGCAGAAGCUGGGAGAAGACUAGCACAUGAGUGAUGAAUCCUGUCUUCCGCUCAGAACUGUGCCCAUGAAGCAGGGGGACAGGCCUGCAAGGAAGAGUCCUGGAGCCCUACCUCCUCCAAACAACAGUGUGCGCCUGUGCAAAAGCAGAACAAGGUCAGUAUCCUCACCGUGCAAAUGAGAGGACGCAGAGAGGGCCUGCUACGGUCUGAAUGUCUGUGUCCCUCCAAAAUUUGUAUGUUGGAACCUAAUCCCCAGUGUGAUAGUAUUACAAGGUGUGGCUUCCGAGGAGUGAAUAAGUCGUGAGAGCUGGGCUCUGCCCUCAGGAACGGGCUGGUGCCCUUGUGAGAGAGGCUCGCGUGAGCUCCCUUGCCUCUUCUGCUGCUCGAGGACACAGCGGCAAGAUGCCUUCUGUGGCGCAGAGAGGGGCCCUCGCCAGAUGUCAGAUCUGCUGGCGCCUGACCUUGCACCUCCCAGCCUCCAGAACUGCAAGCAGCAAACUUCCAUUGUUUGUGAGCUCCCCAGUCUAAGGUAUUUUGUCCUAGUAGCAGGAACGGACUAAGCCAGGCCAGUGCCACACAGCUCAUCCGAUCUGGGUGGGCAGAGUGAGGUCUUCUGAUACCAAGGCCAGAGCCAAGGGGCUAGGCUGGUGUGAUGCCGGGAAAAGUGCUGUUUGCUCAUCAAGGAAAUACAGAUUAAAAACCCAACAGAGCACGAUCCCCGGCAUGGCUGAAAUGAGUAAGAUGGGUGAAAAGUCCAGUGUGAGUAGGAUGUGCAGCAGCUGGAACUGCUUCAUGUGGCCAAGAAUCAGUAUAUUAACACUUCAGAAAAGUGUCUAACAACAUUUACCAAAGCUAAAGAUACUCACACCUAGUAACCCGGCAACUCCAUUCCUAGAUACCAAACACAUUCUAGGUACUAAAAUAAUCAUAGUACCACUACCCGUAAAGCUACAAACUGGAAAAACCCAAAUUCCCAGCAACAAUAUAGUAAAUAAAAAUAUUGUGAUAUGUUUAUAUGAUAUGGUGAACAAACUAAAUACAACCAUGUGGACAAAUGUCACAAACUUAAUGCUGAGCAAAAGAAGCCAGACACCAAAGAGUAAAUGUUCUGUGAACUCACCUGUACAAUGUUCAGACCGGACAAUAGUAAUCAGUAGUAUUAGAAGGAGAGACAGCUGUUUCCUUAGGUGGGUUAGUGACAACAAGGGACAAGAAAGGGACUUCUGUGGUACUGGUUACUUGAGGGCAUUCAUUCUGUGAAAAAUCAUCAAGUCAUACACCUAUGAUUUGUACAUAUAUGAUUUCUGCAUGUAUGCUAUUUCUUCGAUAAAAAUGUAAACUUAAAAACCAUGAUAAUCUCUAUGAACUGAUACAGAGGGAUUCCAGGAUGGGUUAUGCUUAAAAAAUCACAGCACGAAACUGUAGAAUGCUACUUUUUGUGUGAGAAAGAAGAGGAAAUAAGAAAUUAUAUGUAUAUAAAAUUAUGUGUAAUAUGCAUUUGUAUAUAGUUUUUCUGCAGAAAGAAACACAGGUAGGAUAAACCAAAGAGGCUGGGUGGGAAUAGGCCGGAAAGGAAGUGAGAAGAGAGAGAUUUCUCUGCGUAUAAGUUUUUCGUGUAAGUUUUUUGACUUUGGGAACCACAUCAAUGGUUUUCAUACUCAAAUAACAACUACAACAGCAACAAAAGAUGGGGGAAAUCCCUAAAAUGUAAUACAAACAGAAAAAAAAAUUUCAAAUGAAUAACAUAACCACAUCGAAAGGGGGAAAGCCUGACCCAAGGGAGUUCUGGGCAUAUCAGUAGUAUUCUGACUACACACACUUGGACAGAGGGCAAAAACGCCUGCAAAAUGAACUCUAAUUAGUAGGACUGCUUUUUGCAGUGGUGUGGGUUAGCAGUUCUAAAACUUCCUGUGUGUUUGAGGCUUGGGCAAGUGAGUAAAUAAAAAUCAUGGGAUCCAGGUCUCACUGUUGCAGGAGUUGCAAACACUGAAAGGAGAAAGACAGAAGCGUGCCCGUAGGUACUGGAUUGGAAUUGCAGGUGGAGCGAGAGCUCGUGGUUUAUGCACACAUGUUAGCGUGGAUUCGGUCAGGGUGGUCUACUUCCCAGAGCAUUCCCUGCUACGAUAAACGAGGGCUCCUUGGAGAAACAGCUGAUUUCCAGACUGCGAUGAUGAGUCUGAGAGUGGGGAAAAGGUCAAAGGAAUGAUGAAGUGUCAAAAGGCACAGGGGUCAGCUUGAAGGGGCUCCCUCUAGCCAAACUGGGGACAAACUGAGCACCAAAAUGAAUAACAAUAGAGAUGAAUUACAACCCACUGAAUAAAGUAAGAAUCCACGAGUCCAUACAGAUAGAAUACAGGGAGUAUAAAUAUUAAUAAAUACAUGGGGAAGAGAAAAAAUUCUUCCUUAGAGUAGAAUUCAAAUUAACAAAGGGGAAAUUCUAGAGUUAGAAAAUUACAUUUGGUCACCAUCGUAGUAAUAGUUGAUUCAGCUGAGAAUCAUCGAUGGAUGAUGCUAGCAUUAGUGUGUGAAAAAUUUGAUAAAGAGGCUAUUUACACUCUUAAGGGAAUUCCCCAUAAAAUACUUAUUAAAUGCAAAUGGAAAACCAGUAACUUCACAGUGGCAGACUCACCAUAACCAGUGAUCUAAGUUAAUGUCACUAGUGAUGGGACAAAUGCACAGCCCGCCCCUCCUGGGAUGACACAAGGGAAGACACAGCAUCACUUCUACAACAAUCCUGCCGAAAACCAAUGACCCGAAUUUGAUCAUGAGGAAAUAUCAAACAAACCCAAACUGGAGAACAUUCAAUAAAAUAACUGGCCUGAACUCUUCAAAAAUACCAAGUUCAUGAAAGACAAAGAAAGGUUGAGGACUUAUUCCAAGCUAAAUAUGACUAAAAAGACACAACUAAAUGCAACUUGGGAGCCUGGAUCAAAUCCUGGACCAGAAAAAAAAAUUUAACAAAGAAAUAUUAUUGGGACAACUGGCAAAAUCUGAACAACAAGCUAUAUAGAUUAAAAAAUAAUAUUAAUGUUAAUGUCCCAAUUUUGAUAACAAGGACAAGAAAAUAUCCUUAUUCUUGGGAAAUACACACCGAACUAUUUUGGGAUAAAGGGAUAUGAUAUCUGUAACUUAGUCUCAAAUGGCUCAGAAAAAAAUUAUAUAUAACACAGAUAAUUUAUAUAUAUUUAUAUACAUACAGACAGGGAGACAGGGAGAGAAGAUGAUGAAGCUGCAGUAAAUGUUAACUGUUGGGGAAUUUGGGUGAAGAGUGAAUUCUUUGUGCUUGUCUUGCAGUUUUUUGUAAGUCUGCAAUUAUUUCAAAGGAAGAUUUAACUAACUGACUAAACAAAUGCCAUGCUUAUAUUCGUCAUGUAUAUAUUUAUUUAUUGAGGUAAAAUUUACGCGCACCCCUGAGUGCACAGUUUGAUGGAUUUCGAUAAUCCUCCAUGCGCCCACCCCCCGAAUCCAGAUGCAGAGUGCUGCUUUCCUGUCACUCCAGAAAGUUCUCUCCUGCCUCCUUUCUGUCGUCCCCUCCGGAAGCAAUCGUCCUCCACCCGGAAGCAACCGUCCUCCACCCGGAAGCAACCGUCCUCCACCCGGAAGCAACCGUCCUCCACCCGGAAGCAACCACCAAUCCGGUUUCCAGCGCCAAGGCUGCACGGCUCCGGCUGGCCUGGAAUUUCACUGGAAGGGAGUUGACUAAACAUCUUUCUUCUGGCCAGGAGGGGCGCGCCCUCGAUAGGGGUGUAGAAAGUGAGGGGAAUGCAGAGAAACUUCUCCCAUUCUACCAUUUCCUGGGUGGUGUGUA